GUCUUUGUAGUAUAUAAAAUACCUUGGUCUUGUAAACCAAAAAAGGAGAACACAUAUCCUCCCUAAGACU
rnacentral:tRNA from 1 species